AUUGAACGCUGGCGGCAGGCCUAACACAUGCAAGUCGAGCGGAGCGGCGGACGGGUGAGUAAUGCCUAGGCAUCUGCCUGGUCGUGGGGGAUCACGUCCGGAAACGGGCGCUAAUACCGCAUACUAUCAGAUGAGCCUAGGUCGGAUUGGCUUGUUGGUGGGGUAAAGGCCUACAAAGGCGACGAUCCGUAACUGUGCUGAGAGGAUGAUCUGUCACACGGGAACUGAGAUACGGUCCAGACUCCUACGGGAGGCAGCAGGGGGGAAUAGUGGACAAUGGGCGAAAGCCUGAUCCAGACAUGCCGCGUGUGUGAAGAAGGGCUUCGGAUUGUAAAGCACUUGAAGUUGGGAGGCGUUACCAACAGAAUAAGCACCGGCUAACUUCGUGCCAGCAGCCGCGGUAAUUC
rnacentral:rRNA from 1 species